UGUCCAGGGAUGGGAACCGAACCCACAGCGCUCCGCCCACCGGGCAGACGCCAUGUCCACUAGGCCUAUUCCCAUCCUUGGAC